GCAGCGGACGGCGUCUAUACAUGCAAGUCGAGCGAACUGAUUAGAAGCUUGCUUCUAUGACGUUAGCGGCGGACGGGUGAGUAACGCGUGGGCAACCUUGUAAGACUGGGAUAACUUCGGGAAACCGACGCUAAUACCGGAUAGGAUCUAUGGGAGAUGAUGGAAAGAUGGUUUCGGCUAUCACUUACAGAUGGGCCCGCGGUGCAUUAGCUAGUUGGUGAGGUAACGGCUCACCAAGGCAACGAUGCAUAGCCGAUCUGAGAGGGUGAUCGGCCACACUGGGACAGAGACACGGCCCAGACUCCUACGGGAGGCAGCAGUAGGGAAUCUUCCGCAAUGGACGAAAGUCUGACGGAGCAACGCCGCGAGAGUGAUGAAGGCUUUCGGGUCGUAAAACUCUGUUGUUAGGGAAGAACAAGUACAAGAGUAACUGCUUGUACCUUGACGCUACCUAACCAGAAAGCCACGGCUAACUACGUGCCAGCAGCCGCGGUAAUACGUAAGUGGCAAGCGUUAUCCGGAAUUAUCGGGCGUAAAGCGCGCGCAGGCGGUUUCUUAAGUGUGAUGUGAAAGCCCACGGCUCAACCGUGGAGGGUCAUUGGAAACUGGGGAACUUGAGUGCAGAAGAGAACAGCGGAAUUCCACGUGUAGCGGUGACAUGCGUAGAGAUGUGGAGGAACACCAGUGGCGAAGGCGGCUUUUUGGUCUGUAACUGACGCUGAUGCGCGAAAGCGUGGGGAGCAAACAGGAUUAGAUACCCUGGUAGUCCACGCCGUAAACGAUGUGUGCUAAGUGUUAGAGGGUUUCCGCCCUAUAGUGCUGCAGCUAACGCAUUAAGCACUCCGCCUGGGGAGUACGGUCGCAAGACUGAAACUCAAAGGAAUUGACGGGGGCCCGCACAAGCGGUGGAGCAUGUGGUUUAAUUCGAAGCAACGCGAAGAACCUUACCAGGUCUUGACAUCCUCUGACAACUCUAGAGAUAGAGCGUUCCCCUUCGGGGGCCAGAGUGACAGGUGGUGCAUGGUUGUCGUCAGCUCGUGUCGUGAGAUGUUGGGUUAAGUCCCGGAACGAGCGCAACCCUUGAUCUUAGUUGCCAGCAUUUAGUUGGGCACUCUAAGGUGACUGCCGGUGACAAACCGGAGGAAGGUGUGGAUGACGUCAACUCAUCAUGCCCCUUAUGACCUGGGCUACACACGUGCUACAAUGGAUGGUACAAAGGGCUGCAAGACCGCGAGGUCAAGCCAAUCCCAUAAAACCAUUCUCAGUUCGGAUUGUAGGCUGCUACUCGCCUACAUGAAGCUGGAAUCGCUAGUAAUCGCGGAUCAGCAUGCCGCGGUGAAUACGUUCGCGGGCCUUGUACACACCGCCCGUCACACCACGAGAGUUUGUAACACCCGAAGUCGGUGGAGUAACCGUAAGGAGCUAGCCGCCUAAAGUGAACGU
rnacentral:rRNA from 2 species